rnacentral:rRNA from 1 species
UGGGGAAUAUUGGACAAUGGGCGCAAGCCUGAUCCAGCCAUGCCGCGUGAGUGAAGAAGGCCUUCGGGUUGUAAAGCUCUUUUACCAGGGACGAUAAUGACGGUACCUGGAGAAUAAGCCCCGGCAAACUUCGUGCCAGCAGCCGCGGUAAUACGAAGGGGGCUAGCGUUGUUCGGAAUUACUGGGCGUAAAGCGCACGUAGGCUGAUUGUUAAGUCAGGGGUGAAAUCCCAGAGCUCAACUCUGGAACUGCCCUUGAUACUGGCGAUCUCGAGUCCGGAAGAGGUUAGUGGAAUUCCCAGUGUAGAGGUGAAAUUCGUAGAUAUUGGGAAGAACACCAGUGGCGAAGGCGGCUAACUGGUCCGGUACUGACGCUGAGGUGCGAAAGCGUGGGGAGCAAACAGGAUUAGAUACCCACGUAGUCCCUGAGCGGGCUGGCAAGGCGCAU